UUUCACAGUAGAAAGAAGAUGGACAGAUUUUGGCUGCCUAACUCAAUGUUUUUUCUUAACUGAGUAUAUCAGUGCUCUAGUUACAGCUUUAAGGAUUUUUUGGAAGACAUGAAUGUGAGGCAGGAAAGUUCAAGAUCAAUUUACAGCAGUGACAUGUUUUCUUACCCUAUGUUUCACUGAGCAGAUGGGAAGAGCUUGGGGAGGGCAUGAAGUUCAGUCAUGUCUGGAUAAAAGCAUUAACUGCAAAAUCGUUACAGAUUCUCAGCACGUUCUGACUUACUGUGAAGAGGGGACAUAAACUGAGUGAAUGUGGAUGAAACUACAUCUUUUCUAAUAAGUUACAUAUGUUUACAUGAGUGCUUGAACUACCCUAUGCCACGAUAUGAUUAGUUUGACAGGAAAUAAAUAGGUAAUUCAUUUUUGAGGAAAAAUUAUGGAUGACAAGAUUUACUCUCUCAGAGCACAGACUGCUUUUUGUUUGUG